UAGGGAAUAUUGGACAAUGGGCGAAAGCCUGAUCCAGCAAUGCCGCGUGAGUGAUGAAGGCCUUAGGGUUGUAAGGCUCUUUUGUCCGGAACGAAACGGUUGGCGUGAAUAUCGCCGACUACUGACGGUACCGGAAGAAUAAGCACCGGCUAACUACGUGCCAGCAGCCGCGGUAAUACGUAGGGUGCGAGCGUUAAUCGGAAUUACUGGGCGUAAAGCGUGCGCAGGCGGUUUUGUAAGCCAGAUGUGAAAGCCCCGGGCUCAACCUGGGAAUGGCAUUUGGGACUGCAAGGCUUGAGUGCGGCAGAGGAGACUGGAAUUCCUGGUGUAGCAGUGAAAUGCGUAGAUAUCAGGAGGAAUACCGAUGGCGAAGGCAGGUCUCUGGGCUGACACUGACGCUCAUGCACGAAAGCGUGGGGAGCAAA
rnacentral:rRNA from 1 species